GUUUCAUCGGCUGCACCAGUAACUAUAUUUUCACCAUUGGGAGACAUAGCCAAAUACAAAACUCGAUCUGUAUGACCUUUUAAGGUUCCAACACGUGAAACACUAGGAUAGUUCCACAAAGCUACUUCAUUUUCCAUGAAACCAUGAGUUGAAAUAAAUUCGUUUGUUUGCUUUGACCACAACAAAUUACAGACUUGUGAUCCUGUGUCUAUGUUGUGCAACAUCGAUCCGCGUUGUGUAUUCCAUAACUUUAUGGUGCGAUCGGCAGUACCUCCUCCAGAAGCCAGAAUUCCGCGCUGAUG